rnacentral:rRNA from 1 species
GACGUAGGGCGCGAGCGUUGUCCGGAUUUAUUGGGCGUAAAGAGCUCGUAGGCGGCUCGUUGCGUCGGCUGUGAAAACCCGCAGCUCAACUGUGGGCUUGCAGCUGAUACGGGCGGGCUGGAGUUCGGUAGGGGAGACUGGAAUUCCUGGUGUAGCGGUGAAAUGCGCAGAUAUCAGGAGGAACACCGGUGGCGAAGGCGGAUCUCUGGGCCUUACCUGACGCUCAGGUGCGAAAGCUAGGGGAGCGAACAGG